CGUAGGAAGCGGGGGGGACGGGGGGAACAUGUCCCCCCCAAUAUUGAAGCCAGGUGGAUAUGUCCCCCCCAAAAAACUGUACCGCAAAAUAUUGGAUUUUGAAUUUUUUUUAACUAGCGUGCUUUUAUUUUGAAGGCGCAGCAUCGCGUUACGUCACUGUACUCCCCCUCCCCUCUCUGAACUGCUGAGUGAGCACUCAGAAGGGAGGGAAACAGCGACACAGAAGUCAGAAACUUGUGAAUGAGUACAAUGCCACCACCAACUAAAAGGCUGAAACAGCAGCAGGACUUACUCAGCUUUUUUAAAAAGAGUAACGUCAGUGAGCAACAAUGCAGGGACAGCACAAAGGAGACAGGAAAAGGAGAGGAUAGUGCAACCGGGCUAGAGGCAGGAAGUCAGAGUGAGGGAGAGACAGGAGUGGAGCAACAGGUAAGACAGAGUAACUCAUACCAGUAGAUACUUCAUGAGAGUCCACAAAAAAAGUUGAAAAUUUUAAUCUUUUGCUUGUAGUAAGUGUAGUUCAGGGGCAUUGAGUGACAUUGUAACUUUUCCUUCUAGGGAGUUCAGACUAGGGACACACAGCUGAGAGACUCUGAAGUCAGUGGACAGAGAACAGAGCCAAAUCAGCCACAUCCAAAAUUCAUAGACCCUCAAGCUCUAGCCAACAGAACUUUACAUUUCCAAGGAAAGUGGUACAAGGAAUUUCCCUGGCUACAUUAUGAUGCAGUGAAAAAGGGCAUUUUGUGUUUUUAUUGCAUGGCAAUUUACCAGGACAAACUCACACCAUUUGGUGCAAAAUCCGAACCCGCCUUUAUCACUUCUGGAUUUAAAAAUUGGAAAAAAGCAUUAGAAAAAUUUAAAGCACAUGAAAAUAGUCACACACAUCAUCAUGCUGUUUCUGUGACUGCACAAGAAAGUCAUCCUAUAAAUGCCCAAUUAUCCAGUGCUUUGGCAACUCAGCAAGGUGACAAUAGGCACUGUCUGGAGAAAAUUGUGAGCUCCAUAAAAUAUUUGGCACGGCAGGGACAAGCUUUGAGAGGGCAUGACGAUGAUGACAGCAAUUUGUAUCAACUGUUGAAAAAUCUGGCAGAAGAUGAUGCCCUUUUGGCUAAGUGGUUGCUGAGGU